rnacentral:rRNA from 1 species
AGAGUUUGAUCCUGGCUCAGGAUGAACGCUGGCGGCGUGCCUAAUACAUGCAAGUCGAACGCUUCACUUCGGUGAAGAGUGGCGAACGGGUGAGUAAUACAUAAGUAACCUGGCAUCUACAGGGGGAUAACUGAUGGAAACGUCAGCUAAGACCGCAUAGGUGUAGAGAUCGCAUGAACUCUAUAUGAAAAGUGCUACGGGACUGGUAGAUGAUGGACUUAUGGCGCAUUAGCUUGUUGGUAGGGUAACGGCCUACCAAGGCGACGAUGCGUAGCCGACCUGAGAGGGUGACCGGCCACACUGGGACUGAGACACGGCCCAGACUCCUACGGGAGGCAGCAGUAGGGAAUUUUCGGCAAUGGGGGAAACCCUGACCGAGCAACGCCGCGUGAAGGAAGAAGUAAUUCGUUAUGUAAACUUCUGUCAUAGAGGAAGAACGGUGGAUAUAGGGAAUGAUAUCCAAGUGACGGUACUCUAUAAGAAAGCCACGGCUAACUACGUGCCAGCAGCCGCGGUAAUACGUAGGUGGCGAGCGUUAUCCGGAAUUAUUGGGCGUAAAGAGGGAGCAGGCGGCACUAAGGGUCUGUGGUGAAAGAUCGAAGCUUAACUUCGGUAAGCCAUGGAAACCGUAGAGCUAGAGUGUGUGAGAGGAUCGUGGAAUUCCAUGUGUAGCGGUGAAAUGCGUAGAUAUAUGGAGGAACACCAGUGGCGAAGGCGACGAUCUGGCGCAUAACUGACGCUCAGUCCCGAAAGCGUGGGGAGCAAAUAGGAUUAGAUACCCUAGUAGUCCACGCCGUAAACGAUGAGUACUAAGUGUUGGGGGUCAAACCUCAGUGCUGCAGUUAACGCAAUAAGUACUCCGCCUGAGUAGUACGUUCGCAAGAAUGAAACUCAAAGGAAUUGACGGGGGCCCGCACAAGCGGUGGAGCAUGUGGUUUAAUUCGAAGCAACGCGAAGAACCUUACCAGGUCUUGACAUCGAUCUAAAGGCUCCAGAGAUGGAGAGAUAGCUAUAGAGAAGACAGGUGGUGCAUGGUUGUCGUCAGCUCGUGUCGUGAGAUGUUGGGUUAAGUCCCGCAACGAGCGCAACCCCUGUUGCCAGUUGCCAGCAUUAAGUUGGGACUCUGGCGAGACUGCCGGUGACAAGCCGGAGGAAGGCGGGGAUGACGUCAAAUCAUCAUGCCCCUUAUGACCUGGGCUACACACGUGCUACAAUGGACAGAGCAGAGGGAAGCGAAGCCGCGAGGUGGAGCGAAACCCAUAAAACUGUUCUCAGUUCGGACUGCAGUCUGCAACUCGACUGCACGAAGAUGGAAUCGCUAGUAAUCGCGAACCAGCAUGUCGCGGUGAAUACGUUCUCGGGCCUUGUACACACCGCCCGUCACACCAUGAGAGUCGGUAACACCCGAAGCCGGUGGCCUAACCGCAAGGAAGGAGCUGUCUAAGGUGGGACUGAUGAUUGGGGUGAAGUCGGAACAAGGUAUCCCUACGGGAACGUGGGGAUG